rnacentral:lncRNA from 10 species
CUGAAUGCCAAGGGAACAGAAGCACCCGCAGUAGUGACAGAGGAGGAGGAUGAUGAUGAAGAGACUGCUCCUCCCGUUAUUGCCCCGCGACCGGAUCAUACGAAAUCAAUUUACACACGGUCUGUAAUUGACCCUGUUCCUGCACCAGUUGGUGAUUCACAUGUUGAUGGUGCUGCCAAGUCUUUAGACAAACAGAAAAAGAAGACUAAGAUGACAGAUGAAGAGAUUAUGGAGAAAUUAAGUAUGUUAUCUACAUUUUACAUCAUUGUUAAAUUGUUCACGGCUCUUAAAACAUUUGGCCCAGAUGGAUUUUAACUUACACUUUACAUUGUGACUUAAAGUAUAAAGAAUAAAUUGUUUCCUUAUAGCAA